rnacentral:misc_RNA from 1 species
UACGGAGGGUGCGAGCGUUAAUCGGAAUUACUGGGCGUAAAGCGCGCGUAGGCGGCUUGGCAAGUCGGAUGUGAAAGCCCAGGGCUUAACCUUGGAAUUGCAUUCGAUACUACCGGGCUAGAGUUUGGUAGAGGAAGGCGGAAUUCCGGGUGUAGCGGUGAAAUGCGUAGAUAUCCGGAGGAACAUCAGUGGCGAAGGCGGCUUUCUGGACCAAAACUGACGCUGAGGUGCGAAAGCGUGGGGAGCAAACAGG